rnacentral:rRNA from 1 species
AAUCAACGCUGGCGGCGUGCCUCAGACAUGCAAGUCGAACGAUUAAAGCUCUCUUCGGAGAGUGUAUAGAGUGGCGCACGGGUGAGUAACACGUAAGUAAUCUACCCUCGAGUGGGAAUAACGUCCGGAAACGGACGCUAAUACCGCAUAAUGCAGCGGCACCGCAAGGUGACAGUUGUUAAAGAUUUAUCGCUUGAGGAGGAGCUUGCGGCAGAUUAGCAGUUGGUAAGGUAAUGGCUUACCAAGGCUACGAUCUGUAACCGGUCUAAGAGGACGGUCGGUCACACUGACACUGAA